UACAGAGGGUGCAAGCGAUAAUCGGAAUUACUGGGCGUAAAGCGCGCGUAGGCGGUCGGGUAAGUCGGUUGUGAAAUCCCCGGGCUUAACCUGGGAAUUGCAGUCGAUACUGCCUGGCUAGAGUGUGGAAGAGGGAAGCGGAAUUUCCGGUGUAGCGGUGAAAUGCGUAGAUAUCGGAAGGAACACCAGUGGCGAAGGCGGCUUCCUGGUCCAACACUGACGCUGAGGCGCGAAAGCGUGGGUAGCGAACAGG
rnacentral:rRNA from 1 species